GAGAGAGGUAUAAUACAAUAAAAACUGCUAAUUCUUAUAUCUGAGGUUAAAUCCCACAGCUCCCUCA
rnacentral:tRNA from 1 species